rnacentral:lncRNA from 1 species
GCUUCGAUCUCCACCCGGAAGCCCUUCGUUCCUCUGUGCACCUGAUGGCUCCCUCCAGAAGCUCUGAGAACCCGCUACUUGGCACCUCCUCAGGGAUCUGCCAUGGCGUGGGGUUCUCUGCUCCCUCUAUCAGAGACCCACAGCCUGUGGACUGCGAUGGCCCAGCACUCCUGCUUGUGUCUCCCGCUUGGCUGGAAGCCAACCAAGAGCAGGGUGUGUGCUGGGGUGUCCAACCUGGGACCGGGCACAGGGCACACCCACACGUUGAAGGAGUGUGAAUACAUAGACAGAAUCUGGUUCUGGAUCAGCCUUGGAGGUGGGGAGAGGGGCUGGUGGGGUCUGGGCAGAUGAAAGGGAUGGAUAGAGCUUGACGGUGAUGUAGAAAAGCAGUGUGUGUUGGGGGUGAGGGGCUCCAGGGAAGACUGAGCGCCCAGGGAACCUCCAUGAUCCCUGUCCUGGCAGUCUCUAAGGUAUGAGGUCCUCCCUCCCAUGCAAACACCAGAAAUGGUUUGGGGCAGCCUGGCCGUGGGAUGCAGGAGGGAGCUUUGUCCCUUCUGAUGGUGCUGCCACCUGGCUUCCUGGCAGGAGCCAACAGAGCAAGUGGGGGAGCUGGCCUAGAAGCCAAGGGGGUCCCAGGAGCCCUGCAGGUACCUGAGCAGCUUUGGAAAGGAAGGCGCCAGAGGAACUGGGAGGGAGGAGCAUGUCUGGAGAUGACUCCUCCCAGCCUUGGAAGCUGGGGGCGUCUGGAACAGCAGGGUCCCUCAAGAGAGGAAGAUGCCAGGAUGGCACAGGACACAUGCCUGUGUCUCCACCUCCUACAAGUGCUGCCAGUAGAGAUCGCCAUUGCAGCCUUCAGGAAGACUGACUGGCAACCCAUCCUGCUAUGCAGGCCCACCCCAGGUGCAGAGACCUGGCUUCAGCCGCAGCUUGGUCCCUGA